rnacentral:rRNA from 1 species
UACGAAGGGGGCGAGCGUUGUUCGGAAUUACUGGGCGUAAAGGGCGCGUAGGCGGCGACCCAAGUCAGAUGUGAAAGUCCUGGGCUUAACCUGGGGACUGCAUUUGAUACUGGGUUGCUUGAAUUCGGGAGAGGAUAGCGGAAUUCCCAGUGUAGAGGUGAAAUUCGUAGAUAUUGGGAAGAACACCGGUGGCGAAGGCGGCUAUCUGGACCGACAUUGACGCUGAGGCGCGAAAGCGUGGGGAGCAAACGGG